AAAGCGGUAAAAGCAGUCAAUUAGCACAUUAGGCACAUAUCAUGUAACAAAAUCAGAUAAAGUCAAAGACAACAAUUAUUCUAAGCUGUCACACCUCCUUUUUCACAGUACACCCCCCCAAAGAGACGUAAAGGAGUUUUUCCACUUAAAGGACAAUCGGAAUGGGAUUUAUUAUUAUUUAUUCAGAGUUGCCACUUGGGAGAUUAAUGGUGUCCCAAGUCACCGGUUGAAUCCCGAACCGAGGAAAAAGAU
rnacentral:lncRNA from 1 species